rnacentral:lncRNA from 1 species
GGAGGCGUAGUUUUCUUAAGGUUGUAAUAUUGGUAUUAGAGCCACCCAUCACACUCCGUCGCGGGAGCUGUGCACCUGACUUGGAAAGGGCUACUUAGGAAAGAGCUAUCUAGAAAAGUAAGUGAAAGCUACCCACUUGAAAAGGGCCUUCCAUGCCCACCAUGCCUGGGAUGGUGACGUUGAUAUGACAGUGUUCGGCCGGGGAAAGUAAUGUAUAGUGCACAAUCGUCGCAACAUCUGUGCACCUGACUCGAAACCUGAGACGAUGAAACCAUCCGAUCAAACGAUGAGACGUCUUGAAUUUAGUCAAAAAAACAUCAAGUACAAGGGCAGGCUUUCUCUCUUCCCAAACCACACGCGUCUUUUCCUUUCAUUACCCAAAAUGCACAAAGAAACCAUCCAUCUUUCACUCUCUCUCCAUCUUCCUCAUCUACUCUAUACCCAAAAUCAAAACCACAAUCCACCAUAUCUUACCAUCCGCCUGCACUACAAGGAUUCAUCCUAUUUUCAGCCUUUCCAAUCCGCUACUUCAAUAAAUCAACGAAAAUCAGUUCCCAAUCGGUGAUACAACGAAAUUAGAUUUCAAAUCCAUGUUAAAGACACAAAAAUCGUCCAAAAUCGUGAAGUGAGUUGUCUUUUUCAACUUUUUGAAUUUCAAAUACAUCCCUUUGAUUUGGCCGUUGGUUUCCUUGAAUUUUGGUUUCAAAUUCGGACUUUCAAGUCCGGAUUUGCAUAUAAAUACCUACGGUUUUACCUAUUUCGAAGGGGGGGCGGGGGGGGGGGGGGGGGGGAGAGAAGUUUUUUAGAAGGAGAGACAGAGGGGGAACACUCGAAAAUUGGGGAAUAUUCACACAAAUUCACAAACAAAGUCACAAAAUCAGAAGUUUUGUUUCUUCUUUUCGGUCUAGGUUCGGGCUCCCGGAGUUUGAGUUGGAUAGCUGGAAAAUCUUGGCAUCGAAGCCCCAUCUUGCUGCCCCAUAAAAGUUUCAACGGAAACUCGGUUUUGACCCAAAGUUUGGGUCGAUGGGUAUAGGAUCACAGAGUUCGGGGUCUAAAUUGCUAGGAGCCAAUUUGCUUCCAUAGGAAUUGAUAGUAUCCCAUCCUUUACCUUUCUCAUGACUUUCUUAUUCACGUUUGUUUCAUUAACUUUGUGUCAUUUUGAUAAUUUAUUUUAUAUGUCUUUGAUUGAAACCGAUAUCACUUAACUUUGUUUAGUUUUGUUCGAACUUUAAACCACCUAGAAUUGAUUUUAUUCGGUCAUUUUUUAUUCGUCAUUCAUAAAUAUAAUAACGGUAUAUAGUUCAACCACUUAUUUUUAUAAUUUUGCACCUACGAAUCUACCUUUAUAAUAAAUGGCAAACUCUGCUUUUUAUAAUUACAAUAUGGAAUACAUCUCUGAUUGAACAAAACAACUGGUUAUUAUUUUCGAUUUGCAAAAUAUUAAUUAACGGUUUUGUCACCUUAUCCAGAGUAUUGUUUUCCAAAUGAAUCAACAUAAGUAUUAAAUAGGUUUCAUUUAUUCCAUCCGCCAUGUUUGCAAGUAAAUAAUCCACCAACAUCGAUUUUUUCAUUCAACGCUGUAUAAUUUAAACACCUACUACAGGUCAUAUCUGCUUCUCAACUCUAUUUCAAAUUUUCAGAUUUUAAAGGCUUUCUGAACACAAGAUAUAUAUAUAUGUUAUACACUACCACAUACAAGGUAUAUUUUACUACUAUCAUUAUAAUUGCUAUUACUAUAAUAUUACCACUUACAUUAUUAUUAUCAUUGUUAUUAUUUUCACUUUAUUAUACCUAUGUAGGCUACUAUCACAUUUAUGUUUACCUUAGUUCAAUUUAAAUCUAUUCGGGUUGCACAAGCGAAAAGAAUUUUAUACCUUUUCAUACAUUUCUAAAUCCUCAUGCAUUUAUAUUUAUUUUAAAUAAAUUUUUUCACACUUCAAAAGUAUACUUUAUUUACCUUGUAAUGAAUUUUAUUCACGUAUUUAACUUUGCAAAGUCAUAAGAUCUUAUACUCGCUACUUUACAUAUUAUAACAACAGAAGCUACUACUCUCUCUCAUAAUUUUUCAAAAUAUUCAUUUAUUUAUAACUAUAUUAUUUCGUUGUAUGUGAUAGUGUUACAUCUUUAUGUGCCUUGACUACUAUUUUUUAAAAUUUAUUUAUUUAUUUAUUUAUUUUUUAAAAAAUGAUGACGGUUUUCUUAUCAAUUUUAACAAAUAACUAAGGCAAAAUAUUCUCCAAAUAUUUCUAAAGCUAAGUUUAAGGACUAUCUUCGGAUAGGCUCUCUUAGUAGUUAGUUUUUGGGGUGUGGUUUUCUUAAGGUUGUAAUAGUGGUAUCAAAGCCACCUAUUACCCUCCGUGCCCACCCUUCCUGGGAUGGUGACUCUGGUAUGUUAGUGUUCGGCCAGGGCUAGUAAUGUCUAGCGUACAACCAUCAUAGCACCUAUGCACCUGACUCGAAAAGGGAUACAUAGGAAAGAGCUACCUAGAAAAGAAGAUAGCUGGCUUUUGGGGUGUGAUUUUCAUAAGGUUGUAAUGGUGGUAUCAGAGCCACCCAUCACCCUCCAUGCCCAUUGUGCCUGGGAUGGUGACGCCGGUAUGACAGUGUUCGGUCGGGGUUAGUAAUGUCUAGCGCACAAACGUCGCGGAAAUUGUGCACCUGACUCGAAAGAGCUACCUAGAAAAGUAGAGUGAAAUCUACAUGUCGAGGAUAAAGGAUGCGAAAUGUGGUGGUUUGUUAUGAUCCGUUGCAAAAAGUCCCACAUUUGUACUACAAAGUAUCUGUGUGCAGUAUUUAUAGCCUUGGGUUCUCCACCUUAAGAGAUGGCUUUUGGGGUGUGGUUCUCGUAAGGUUGUAAUAGUGGUAUCAGAGCCACCCAUCACCGUGCAUGGGUUGGUGACGCCGCUAUGGAAGUGUUCAGCGGGGGCUAGUAAUGUCUAGCACACAACCGUUAUGGCGCCUGGGCACCUGACUCAAAAAAGGCUAUCUACAAAAGUAGAGUGAAAACUACCCAGAGUGGAGCCGCCGAGUAGAGUGAAAACUACCCAAGAGUGGAGCCGUCGAGGAUGAAGGAUAUGGUUUGUUAUGACCCAUUGCAAGAAGUCCCACAUAGUUACUUGUCAGUAGUAACUGCAAACGUCUAGGUUGAACAAUAUAUGAACAAACAUUAGGUAGGCGUUUGGCCGUGAAAACAAAAAAUAAUUAACCUUAUUUGGAAUUUUCAGAGUUAGAGUUGUAUUACACAUUUACAAUUUAAGCAUAUUUUUUUCUUCUUUCUCGCGGUCGCUACUCAUUCGCUAUUUGUUCAACUCUUUUUUGCUGAGUUAUUCAAACACAAAAUCAUUCUUUUGCUUCAGCGACUGUUAUGCCAAUACCAUGACUCAACAAUAUGUGUAUCGAGCAAACUUGGUUUUGAAUAGGUGGACCAAUAAUGCGAUGAAACUUAACAUGCCUCCAUUGCUCAAUCGUACGCACAUCAUUCUAUAAAUAUAGCCAUUCAUAAUCAAAAUACUACAUUGAAGUCCACCAGAUGAACGAUAAGUACCUAAUUGUUCCUACUAACAAAGCAAGUCUAGUAUAAAACCUUUUUGCCGAGGGAGCUUGGAGUCUAGUGCAACAACUCGACCCCUCGUUUUGAGCAUCUGUGUACAUAGAGACGAGCAGACAACCUUCGCAUCAACUGGAGCUUCAUUUGCGGAUACCAACACCAGCGCAGAGCAGACGGUCUUUCUUGCUAUUGUCUAUCCUAUAUAUUUUGUGAGAGUAUCGAAUUGCCAGUGUCUUGCAUAUGCAAAGAUCUUCCGGUCCAACCUUCGAAAUUGUUCUCUUGAGCUUGUUUUCGGGAUCAUCACGACACAGAAACACCCCUAAAGAAGUAAUCCUGAAAGAAAAAGCAGGCAAAAACGGAUUACAAAGUGAGUAAUCGAAUAAACAUACUAGACCUCACCCCUACCGUAGAGGUAGAAGGCUAUUUCUGAUAGACCGUCACAAAUUUUCUUCUCACAGACUAAAGGAAAAAACUAUCGAGAGAUUGAUAUAUAACUUUUUUUGUCGAUCUUACUCAUCGAGGAGAAUUUGUUUCCAGAAAUUUGUUGACGGUACAAAACACAUACAGCAUUCAGACAAAGCUCGUCAUCCGUAUAAAAUGCAGAACGAAAAUCGUCUUCAGAUGACCAUUCUAUACCCGACCUAUCCCCGGGAUUAACCAAUUCUGGAAUAAAUGAUGUCAUUUGACCAUCAUUCGCGCUUCUUUUUCUCUUUCGCGUCGAAUUAGAGGAGCCUUUCACGUGCACUUCCUUUUUCUGUCCGCGACUUUUUGAAGCACGAGCAAUUUCAGUUAACGUCAGUUCAUCAUCACUAUCGUUCAUUGUAUGAACCAGCAUAGUUUCUGGUUCGUCUGACGCUUCACUCAAGACUACUGCUUUACAUGCUGAUGGAUCUGCAAGAAGAUUAUAUGCAAUAACAUCUUAAAUUUUCCUCUUUUAAUCUGAUGCACGAAACUUAUCUGUCCAAUAAAAGUACGAUAGCCGCCAAUCUAAGUCACACAAAAACAACAACUUACCAAGUAUAAUCCUCAUGUACACUGACCUUACCUCUAUCUUUUGCGAUAGAGAGGCUGUUUAAGAUAGUUCCUUGGUUCAAAAGAAAGAAAAAUGAAUCACGUUUGCAUAAAAACACGACAAUAUCCUAGUAGGAUACAAAGCAAUUAAAAGGGGAAACCAAGAGAGACGAGAAAGGAAAAAACUAACUGCAGCAAAGUGGCUAAAUGGACACAACGUGUAACAGUGGAUGUAGCAAGUGUUUGUCGGAAUUGCUUUCUACUCGAGAAUCUAGUGUUUCUUUUUUCAUUUUUCGUGUGUGUCUGUGUGGUUGUGGUGGUGUUAUUUUCAGUAUAUCAUGAAGCAUCAUCAGAAAAUAUCAUACCUAUAACCGUUUAACAGAACAACACUAACUACUAUACCGCAAUCCAACGAGUUGACGUCGGCUAUAUGAAUCCUAAUGAAAUAUCCACAUAAUACAAACAGAUCGUAACAACAAGAAGUUGCCUAAAUCAGAAAACCGUUAUACCUUUCUGUCUCGAUUGGCCAUUGCUAUUUCCGGUUGAGGUGCUAACAAGUUUCAGAUCAUCCAAAAUCACGAUUGCCCGAUCUUCUCCCUGAGUAGAUUCCACGUUAUUAGCGCCAUUCGCACCAGUAGCUUGAAUGCCUAUUUCCACCUCCAAAUCUAUAGCAAAUUUUCAGAAAACACACACAUCAAGAUAACGAAUUUUCCAAAUUAGUUAAAUAAUUGAAUGCGACAAAUAACUAAAACAGGUUUUGCAAAUGUAGUAAAAUCAAGAUAUACUAUCAACACACAUUAUGAAAUGAUACGUAAAAAGACAUAAAAGGGCAUCCCGGUGCACUAAAGCUACCGCUAUGCGCGGUGUUCGGGGAAGGAUCCCACCACAAGGGUAUAUCGUACGCAGCCUUACCUUGCAUUUCUGCCAGAGACUGUUUCCAAGGCUUGAACCUGUGACCUCCUGAUCACAUGACAACAACUUUACCAGUUACGCCAAGACAUAAUAACAACAAUACCUUCAUCAUUUUUUCUCUCAUUUUCCACCAUAAGAGAAACUUCAUCCCUCAACUCUCUCAGUUUCUCCGCGUAGCAAGCCACGCUUUCACUUUUCGUGUUCUGAUAAAGAAAUGGACCUUGGGCCUAACUCAACCUCAAAAGCUAGCUCAUACGGGGAGGAUUGCCCAAGACCCUAUAAGGAGACCAAGGACCCUUUAACCCACCGAUGUGGGACUCCAACACCCCCCCUACGCCCAUGGCUGGACAUCUGGAGCGUGGAAAAUAUAAGAUAGGGGGCCCAACAUCGGAAACAAUAAACUGGGUGGGCCUGGCUCUAAUACCAUGAUAAAAAAAUGGACCUUGGUCCUAACUCAACCUCAAAAGGUAGCUCAUGAGGAGGAGGAUUGCCCAAGCCUUAUAAAGAGACCACCCAUCUCAUUAACCACCAAUGUGGGACUUUCUCUAUUUCUUUUAACACCCCACUGCAUGCCUAGACCUCAACUGGGCCCAGAACUAAACUGGGCGUGGACACAAUCUCCCCGAUAUCUCAAUUCGAGGGCCAAAAGUUGGGUGAGAAUGGACCCUGCUUUGAUACCAUGUUAAAAUUGGUCUUGGGCCUAACUCACACCUCAAAAGCUAGCUCAUGAGGGGAGAAUUGCGCAAGACCAUUGUAACACCCCGUAAAAUUCGUGCAUGUGUUAGCCUCUAGUAGUAUGCUCAAAGAGUUGAAAGGACUUGAAAAUUUUUGUAAGUGUUAAAGAGACUUAGUCUUAUUUUUUUUAGCUUCUAAACUUUGAGAAAUUUAUUUUCGACCUUUCCGACCUUCGAUUUUAAAUUUUCUUGUUGAUUCAUGAUCGGGGAAGUUGAUGGUGCAUAUUGAGUGAGUUUCAGCAUUUUUGGAUGUCGUUUAGGGCAUGUUUGGAUGCCCAAAAUAGUGGCAUCAAGUGAUAUGCAUGCGCCACAUGGUCCAAUGCACGGUGGAAGCAUGCGAUAUAGCAUGCGUCACAUGCUUCAGUGCGGUGGGAAAUAGCCUGCGACGCAUGGUCUGCUGCACGCCUGAGAAUUUUCAGCAUUUAAGCUCCGUCUCAUUAAGGGCAUAUUGGGUGUUUUCCCACACCCUUAUCAGCUCAAGCACAAAAUUUCAACCCCAAUUGAGCAUAAUAUUCAUACAUUCACCAAAAUUACUCAAGAAAUCUCUCAAGGGUUUCAAAAUAAAAACCCGAAUUACUUGAGAUUCAACCGUGAGUUUUAGAAGACAAUUAGAGAUUUGGAAUUCCUACUCCGCAAGCUUCAAGAAUCACCCAUUACUUUCUGAAAUAGAGGUACAGGUGUUUUUUCUAAAAUCUCAUGGGUAUUGAAAUCAUGGUUUUAAGAAAGAGGUUUUUAGAUUUAUGAAUAUAUUCAUAUUUUAGAAACAUUAAUGAUAUUGUUUUGGCCUUUAGGCCUUCCCCAAAUUGAUUUGAAUCGAUAUAUGUAUAUAUGUACAUGUUUUAAUUUUGAUGAUUGAAUUAAGAGCAUGAUUCAUGUGAAAAUCCCUCUCUUGUUAUGAUUUUCCGUACUUAUCAUAUGAUAUGGGUUGUUUUUGAAAGGCAUCUUGAAAAACAUUUUACGAAGUAUCUUAAUUUAUGAAUGAUUUGGUUCUAAAUCUUGAAUUCCAAAGAGAGGGUUGUUUAUAUUGAAAAAUUUUGAAAAUACAUAUAAUGAAGGAGUGCAUGGAUUUUUCCUAAAGCACAUGACCACCUUAUGGUUGAAGAGUUCUUGCAUAGUUUUGACUUAUGCUUUCGGAACAUGAAACCUCUUAUAACAUUUGCAUGUUUGGGUGGUCUGAACUAUGUUUUAAUGAAAAAAUUAUGCAUGGUGCAUUAUGACUCAGAAAUAGGACUUCCAAGUCUUGGUGUGUCGACACCAAUUCAGAUUAUGUCAUGGUAAUUCAGAAUAGAAUACAAAGCAUGUUUAAAGUUAGAAUUUUCAGAUGUUGAAACUAGAAUAAUGCAUGAUUCAGAACAUGAUAAAAAUUAGGCAUAAAGAGAGCGUAGGUGGUUCCUCGAAGAAGACAUAAGUUCAGACAACUCAUUGCCCAAAGCCGUGAUUUUUCAAUCCGGGUAUAUUUAUUACGCUGGCCUUGUUCUAUGUGGCGUAUCAGAAUCAGAAACUCCAAUCCUUGCGGCACACUCGGGUUGAGGACUUCCCCACCGAGUCAAUGGCGGAUUCCAUACUGCCCAUGGAAUAUUAUAAUUGUAGGGAGUGCCACCUAACUCAAAAUUAAUACGAAGAUCAGAACUGCAUUGUCAAGAAUGAUUUAUGACUUUUUAGAAAAGUGCCCAUGUAUUUUGAAAACUAUUUUAUGUAUGAUGUUUUGACAAAUUGCUCUCUAUUAUUUUAUUUAUAUAAAAGCUUUAUUUUGGAUUACUUUACGUACCAGUACAUCUCUAUUAACCCGUCCCUCCUCCCUCCAGGUUCUGAGGCUCAAUCUAGGGUCCAGAAAAGUAGUAGCAUUUAUCAGACAGAUUUCCAGUGUCC